AUAGAAUAGGAAGGGGAACACUUUUUAAGACGCUAAAAAGGGCAAUAUAGUAAUUUUACCCCUGAAAUACAAUUGCCUCUUUCAUUGCCAUUGUCUGUUCGUGUAUACAAUUUGCCAAACUGGUGGCCUCCCUCAUCAUAAAUGGAGAAUUUGGAUGGUCUUCUCCUUCACAUACUCCUAUCUAAUUGGUAUAAGUGCAUCAAAUCCAUUUAGUGAGGUCGUUUCUGGUCUGAUUUCGAUUUGUCUUGAUGGAAAGAAUCAGUGUGAGCGUCUGAUCACUCAUCUAGGGUUAGGGUUCCGACUUCGUCUUCUUCGUUUGAUGGAUUCACUUCCUGCUGCUUCGGUUGCUCCGUUGAUGCCGCCAGCUGGAGGUCCCGUGAAAUGUAAUUGGACGGAGCAUACAUCUCCAAAUGGCAUACAUCUCCUGAUGGAUACAAGUACUACUACAACAGAACAACUGGUGAAAGCAAAUGGGAGAAACCAAAGGAGUUUCGUAUGGUUGCAUAUUUGUGUUUUAGACGAAUAACAUGAAGCCGAUUUCUUCAUCCGUAUGCGGACAACCAGGUCAGUGAAAUUUGAAUCGCCUUUUUGAAGGUGAUCUGAAUCAAUGGCCAAUUCCCUGGUCCUUGGCUUGAUGCUGUCACAAAUGUCUAGGUAAUGUUUUUUUCUGCAAAUUUCUAUCUACAAAAGCACUUCUUCCCAAUUUAUAUUCUAUCAAAGUAAGUAGAGAAUUUAGUUAAAUGGUAUGCAAGUUCCACAACUCUUCUUGUGAAAACAAUGAGAUUAUUUUUAUUGCUUAGUUAACAUAACUUCAUGGACAUAAUGCAGAAGCUACGAACUAAUGGAAAAGACUCUUAAGGUUUACAUAUACAAAGAAUGAGAUAAACCGAUAUUCCACCGGCCGGAGGCUAUGCUAACAGGAGUUUAUGCAUCCGAGGGAUGGUUCAUGAAGAAUAUCAAAGAAAGCAAAAAUUUUGUUACUGGUAACCCCGAAAAAGCCCAUCUAUUUUACAUUCCUUUUAGCUCUCGAGUAUUGCAAUUACAACUAUAUGUCCCCGGGUCUCAUAGUAAAAAGAACCUGCCAUAAUACUUGAAGAACUACGUUCAUCACAUGACAACGAGAUAUAAUUUUUGGAAUAGAACAGAAAAUAAAAAAUAUCUAUUAGAUUUAUUGAUUUUCUUUUGUUAUUUUUUUCUGAUGAUGGUUGGUUUUAUUGAGUGCAAAUUAAUGGAAAAAGUUGCUUCUGAUAAGUGUCACAAAUGGGUCUUCAAAGAACCUUCAGAAUGUGAUCAGAGCAUAUCUAACUAUUGGCAAAGUUCUUUUGAUGCUGUAUGAUUCUCCCACACACACUUACACCUUCAAACACACACACACACACACUUUACACUUUCUCUUAGGACUUGAUUUGUGUAAAAAAAACAUUUGCAUUUGGGUUCAUUUGGGUCGACUCAGAUUAUACAACGGGUCAAUUUGAUUCUGUUCGAAUCAAAUUACAACCAUAAGUUUGCAUUGCUGCAGUCAUUUUUCAAAACCACUUCUUACAGCAACCGAUGGUGCUGAUGAAAUUGCAAUUAAACGUGAAGAAAGGGAAAAUCUCGCUCUAAACCACAUCACAAAAUGCCAACGUGCUUUAGGUAGUAAUCUUCACAACCCGAUUGCUCGAUGGGAUACAAAAUUUAAAGCCGGUGCUAAAACAGGUUUGCUGCAACCUUUUUCACCGAUUGUGGUUGCUGCUGAGGAGGGUGAAUGUAUCAGGCCAGGGAACGAUUACUCUGAUCGAAGGAGAUUCCCAACAAAGCCAUAACAUUAAGCGCGGGGAACUCUUCUAUGUAUCCGUGUGAAUCACCAAGUAUCUAAUCAACAUCGACAACAACGGACGCCUUGUUUUGGCGAAGAUUCUACAUUCGGUCUUCGUCCCCGGUGAAUUGCAGCUCUUUAGCGUAGGAGGUGGUAACGCAGAGUCAUCAUUCUACAACGCGUUCAGUAUCGAAGUUCUAGAAGCUGCAUUUGGUGUUGAUCGCGAAUCGGCCCAUAAAAUGGUUGGGCAGCAGAAUACUGAGGAGCAAAUUAGAUCGUUGUCCGGAGAAGAUAAAAGUAGCCGUUGGCCUUUUGGCGACCGAAAAGGAAAGGGAAGGGGCACACAUAUGUACAAGAACGAACCAUCUGUGGCGAACGAGAACGUUACUGGACAAAUUACUUUCCGAUGAUUCUGUUUAUACUUGGAUUAGGAUUUCUUACGAGAUCACUGGCCAUUGUUGCAGCUGUGCCUACAACUCUCACAAUUGCUUUCUUAAAUGAUAGGCAUGUUGGCUUUAGUGUUUACCUUUGCGAUGUAUAUUGAUAUUUUACGGUAAUGAUGAUUGAACCACGGUGUGUAUGGUUAUUAACUUAUUACAGAGUUUUUCAAAAGUUCAAUGAUCGAUCC